rnacentral:rRNA from 1 species
CGGAGGUGCGGGUGCUAUACAUGCGUCGAGCGGACAGAAGGGAGCUUGCUCCCGGAUGUUAGCGGCGGACGGGUGAGUAACACGUGGGUAACCUGCCUGUAAGACUGGGAUAACUCCGGGAAACCGGAGCUAAUACCGGAUAGUUCCUUGAACCGCAUGGUUCAAGGAUGAAAGACGGUUUCGGCUGUCACUUACAGAUGGACCCGCGGCGCAUUAGCUAGUUGGUGAGGUAACGGCUCACCAAGGCGACGAGCGUAGCCGACCUGAGAGGGUGAUCGGCCACACUGGGACUGAGACACGGCCCAGACUCCUACGGGAGGCAGCAGUAGGGAAUCUUCCGCAAUGGACGAAAGUCUGACGGAGCAACGCCGCGUGAGUGAUGAAGGUUUUCGGAUCGUAAAGCUCUGUUGUUAGGGAAGAACAAGUGCAAGAGUAACUGCUUGCACCUUGACGGUACCUAACCAGAAAGCCACGGCUAACUACGUGCCAGCAGCCGCGGUAAUACGUAGGUGGCAAGCGUUGUCCGGAAUUAUUGGGCGUAAAGGGCUCGCAGGCGGUUUCUUAAGUCUGAUGUGAAAGCCCCCGGCUCAACCGGGGAGGGUCAUUGGAAACUGGGAAACUUGAGUGCAGAAGAGGAGAGUGGAAUUCCACGUGUAGCGGUGAAAUGCGUAGAGAUGUGGAGGAACACCAGUGGCGAAGGCGACUCUCUGGUCUGUAACUGACGCUGAGGAGCGAAAGCGUGGGGAGCGAACAGGAUUAGAUACCCUGGUAGUCCACGCCGUAAACGAUGAGUGCUAAGUGUUAGGGGGUUUCCGCCCCUUAGUGCUGCAGCUAACGCAUUAAGCACUCCGCCUGGGGAGUACGGUCGCAAGACUGAAACUCAAAGGAAUUGACGGGGGCCCGCACAAGCGGUGGAGCAUGUGGUUUAAUUCGAA